UGGGGAAUAUUGGACAAUGGGCGCAAGCCUGAUCCAGCCAUGCCGCGUGAGUGACGAAGGCCUUAGGGUUGUAAAGCUCUUUUGGCGGGGACGAUAAUGACGGUACCCGCAGAAUAAGCCCCGGCUAACUUCGUGCCAGCAGCCGCGGUAAUACGAAGGGGGCUAGCGUUGUUCGGAAUCACUGGGCGUAAAGCGCGCGUAGGCGGAUUUGUAAGUCAGGGGUGAAAUCCCGGGGCUCAACCUCGGAACUGCCUUUGAUACUGCAAGUCUCGAGUUCGGGAGAGGUGAGUGGAAUUCCUAGUGUAGAGGUGAAAUUCGUAGAUAUUGGGAAGAACACCAGUGGCGAAGGCGGCUAACUGGUCCGGUACUGACGCUGAGGUGCGAAAGCGUGGGGAGCAAACAGGAUUAGAUACCCCCGUAGUCCCUGAGCGGGCUGGCAAGGCGCAU
rnacentral:rRNA from 1 species